ACCAAAUCGAUCAGAAGCACCAUUCACUACCAUAGUAUUCUUUUAUCCUACUAUGUAAGUCAAUGGUGCUUCUGGUCAUUUUGGUUGCAGACAUUCCUUAAAAAAUCUUUGUGUUCAUCAGGACGCUUUAAGGUGUAGAAACAUCUCAGCAACCUCAAGAGAAAUUGGAGGCAACUGAGCUAAAUUGCAGAUGUUGUUGCAAAGGGUCUGAAUAUGUAUAAUAUGCUGUCAUCGUAUUAAGUACAGCAUGAGCCAGAAUAGAUGGGUGGUGGUGGCCAUAAGAAGACUGUCAACUAAACCAACAACAAAAUUCAUAUUUGCAGUUUUUCUUGAAUAAAGUUUUUCUAUUCAGAUUAAUAAAAUGACUUUUAAACAUGA